UACGGGGGGAGCAAGCGUUGUUCGGAUUUACUGGGCGUAAAGGGCGCGUAGGCGGUCAGCACAAGUCGGUUGUGAAAUCUCCGAGCUUAACUCGGAAAGGUCAACCGAAACUGUGCGACUAGAGUGCAGAAGGGGCAACUGGAAUUCUUGGUGUAGCGGUGAAAUGCGCAGAUAUCAGGAGGAACACCAAUUGCGAAGGCAGCUCGCUGGGACGUUACUGACGCUGAGACGCGAAAGCGUGGGGAGCGAACAGG
rnacentral:rRNA from 1 species